AUUCUCAAAUUCUACAUGUUGCAUUAUUAGUUGACUAUAGAAUAUCCUUUCGUUAGGAUCUUUAAAACUUCGAACAUCUUAACUCUCAUAACACAAGGUGGAGGGCUACAAGAAAGCUGCUCUUUGGGUUAGUUUGUAGCUGUGGUGAAAUGAUGGAAUACUGGCUUUUUGGGAUUCCUUUUGACUGAAGUGAACAUUUCCAGUAUAAAAUUUUGCACAUCAUGAAUGGAAUGUGGGUCACCUUUGAAAUUUGGAAAAUACUUACACAGAACUUGUAACUCACCUGUCUUCCAAUAAAACUUGAUCAAACUCCGAUGAAGAGACUAGAAAAAGUAUUGAAGUGACACACUGAAAACAUUGAUACCACUUCUGCCGCUGAGAUCUCUGCCCACCGACGUCAACAAAUAGAAAUGGAAUAUUGUUGAUUUGAAUAACACAUUCCGAGAUACCUUUAGUGGCCUUUCUACAAUGCAAAAUAUCCUGGUGCGUAGGGAUAUAAUCCUGUAACCAGAGAAAAGUAGAUUUACCACUUUCUCCAGCGCCGAGUAACAACAAUUUCACUUGUCGGCGCAGAAUCUGACGAUCUUUCUCAAGCAUCCGAUCAAUCUCCUGGCUUUUGUACCGUUGUUCAAUUUCUUCAGGACUGAAUU